UACGUAGGGUGUAAGCGUUGUCCGGAAUUAUUGGGCGUAAAGAGCGUGUAGGCGGCCCGAUUAGUCCGCUGUGAAAGUCCAGGGCUCAACCCUGGAAUGCCGGUGGAUACUGUCGGGCUAGAGUCCGGAAGGGGCGAGUGGAAUUCCUGGUGUAGCGGUGAAAUGCGCAGAUAUCCAGCGGAACUCCGGUGGCGAAGGCGAGGUGCUGGACCCUUCUGACGCUGAACCACGAAAGCCAGGGGAGCAAACGGG
rnacentral:rRNA from 1 species